rnacentral:rRNA from 1 species
AGUGAACGCUGGCGGUAGGCCUAACACAUGCAAGUCGAACGGCAGCACAGUAAGAGCUUGCUCUUACGGGUGGCGAGUAGCGGACGGGUGAGGAAUACAUCGGAAUCUACUUUUUCGUGGGGGAUAACGUAGGGAAACUUACGCUAAUACCGCAUACGACCUACGGGUGAAAGCAGGGGAUCUUCGGACCUUGCGCGAUUGAAUGAGCCGAUGUCGGAUUAGCUAGUUGGCGGGGUAAAGGCCCACCAAGGCGACGAUCCGUAGCUGGUCUGAGAGGAUGAUCAGCCACACUGGAACUGAGACACGGUCCAGACUCCUACGGGAGACAGCGGUGGGGAAUAUUGGACAAUGGGCGCAAGCCUGAUCCAGCCAUACCGCGUGGGUGAAGAAGGCCUUCGGGUUGUAAAGCCCUUUUGUUGGGAAAGAAAAGCAGCAGGUUAAUACCCCGCUGUUCUGACGGUACCCAAAGAAUAAGCACCGGCUAACUUCGUG